GACGAACGCUGGCGGCGUGCUUAACACAUGCAAGUCGAACGGAAAGGCCCUGCUUUUGUGGGGUGCUCGAGUGGCGAACGGGUGAGUAACACGUGAGUAACCUGCCCUUGACUUUGGGAUAACUUCAGGAAACUGGGGCUAAUACCGGAUAGGAGCUCCUGCUGCAUGGUGGGGGUUGGAAAGUUUCGGCGGUUGGGGCUGGACUCGCGGCUUAUCAGCUUGUUGGUGGGGUUGUGGCUUACCAAGGCUUUGACGGGUAGCCGGCCUGAGAGGGUGACCGGCCACAUUGGGACUGAGAUACGGCCCAGACUCCUACGGGAGGCAGCAGUGGGGAAUAUUGCACAAUGGGCGGAAGCCUGAUGCAGCAACGCCGCGUGCGGGAUGACGGCCUUCGGGUUGUAAACCGCUGUCGCCUGUGACGAAGCGUGAGUGACGGUAAUGGGUAAAGAAGCACCGGCUAACUACGUG
rnacentral:rRNA from 1 species